GUAGCUCAGUGGGUAGAGCAGUCUCAUGUCCGCGUCACCUCGUCGCUGCACCAGGGCCAUCGAAUGGCCAAAGGAUCGACCCGGCGAAUGCCGGUGGAACUACAGGACGUCGUGGUUGCGGGUUCGACUCCCGCCGGCU
rnacentral:tRNA from 1 species